rnacentral:lncRNA from 1 species
GUAUUGUUACUUGCAAACUAGAGGCUCUAAAGAGCCUGUGUCGCUCACCUUGGUAUAUGUGAAUAUUAAACAAAGGACGCAGAUAGAUUCAUGACAAAAUUGUGUUUUGGUGAUGGUGAUGUGUUUGUACAUCUUACUUUACUGAACAUUCUUGCUGCUUACAAUUAUCUCUUAUCUAUAAUGGACUUGGCCAAGUAGUUUCAGUGGAAAAUGUUAGUAAAAAUUUACAAAUUUUAUGAAAAUUUUUAAAAAUUGACUAUAAAGGACAAUAACUCCUUAGGGGGUCAAUUGACCAUUUCAGGCAUUUGACUUAUUUGUAAAUCUUACUUUUCUGAACAUUAUUGCUGUUUACAGGUUAUCUCUAUCUAUAAUAGUAUUCAAGAUAAUAACCAAAAACAGCAAAAUUUCCUUAAAAUUACCAAUUCAGGGGCAGCAACCUAACAACCAGUUGUCCAAUUCAUCUGAAAAUUUUAGAGCAGAUAGAUCUGGACUUGAUACACAAUUUAAUCUCAGUCAGAUUUGCUCUAAAUGCUUUGGUUUUUAAGUUAUAAGCCCAAAACUGCAUUUUACCCCUAUGUUCUAUUUUUAGCCAUGGCGGCCAUCUUGGUUGGUUGGCCGGGUUACUGGACACAACUUUUAAACUAGAUACCCCAAUGAUAAUUGUGGCCAAGUUUGAUUUUAUUUGGCCCAGGUGUUUCAGAGGAGAAGAUUUUUGUAAAAGAUAACUAAGAUUUACGAAAAAUGGUUAAAAAUUGACUAUAAAGGGCAAUAACUCCUAAAGGGGUCAACUGACCAUUUUGGACCUGUUGACUUAUUUGUAAAUCUUACUUUGCUGAACAUUUUUUCUAUUUACAGUUUAUCUCUAUCUAUAAUAAUAUUCAAGAAAAUAACCAAAAAUAGCAAAAACUUCCUUAAAAUGACCAAUUCAGGGGCAGCAACCUAACAACGGGUUGUCCGAUUCAUCUGAAAAUUUCAGGGCAGUUAGAUCUUGACCUAAUAAACAAUUUUACCCCUGUCA